CAAGAGAUCUACAUCAGGAAAAAUGCUCUUAUUUAUUAGCUGAUAAUUAGUUUGCUACACUGUAACUAUCAUGAACAGAUUAGUCACUGUCUCCCAUUAGAAAAGAUGUCAACUUAUCUCAUCUUCUAGAUUUUAUAGCUUUGCAGCCAAACACAGGUUUUGUCUUUCUUCCCAUAUUUUUCCAAUUAUAUAUGUUAAUGGCCAUACUUGUCCAAAGAUGGCAGCAUCCUCCUAAAGCUAUUGUUGCAGAAAAUUAAACUCGUUGGAAUGGAUUGAUGAAACAGUUUAAAAUUCCACCUAUUUAAUUAAAAAGUUAUGGUAAAUAUUGGUAAUAUAAGUUAACCCUGACCAAAAGAAUACAGAUUAAGGGAGGGAGAAAAUCCCUCAGAUAAGCACGUCACCAACACCAAAUUUAAUUAUGUGCAUUCUAUUUAUUUAUAAUAGCUUGGGUCAAAAUAAUGCUUGAUGAACAAUGCAGCAAUUGUGCAACUUGGCAGCAUUUUAUAUCAACAUUAAUAUUUCUUAAACUACAGCAUAUCAGCAAGAGGCCAACAGAAGUCAAGUAUUACAGAACAACAGCGAAGCAAAGAACUAUUCCUCCAAUGGGGUAUAUUUUUUAACAUGUGUUAGAAAAUGUGCACAGAGACAGGGGUCUCCUUUAGCAACACAGGAAGCACAGCCUGCACCUUCAGGUGCCCACAACUUCCCCCAUAGUAACUGAGCAUGAUAGACAAGCUUAACGGCAGACCUGUGCCUUAUUUGGUCUUACCCUGCAGGUUGAAGAAGAGUCAUGCAAUACUAGUAAUUUUCUGCUAAAGCUUUGCGCAUACGAAAAGCUCAUGUAACCAGAGAAUAUAAAUACGUGUGUGAGAAUGCAACCAGGGCCCCUCUGCCUUUCUAAGGUCGGGGGACCUUCGGCCGAAUAAACUGGAAAGAACACACCCUCGUCUCCUGUUUAUUUGAGUCUCAGCUGGGAAACGAGCCCCGUUGGGGUCAGGAGUAUUCACAGGUGUUCCCUUUCCAGGUUGGGAGCUUAAGCGAAUAAUUUCUCCAACAAAUUUGGCGAGCCAGCCAGGAGCACCCAGCUCGUCGCGUUGCUGCUGCCGCCUGAACCCAACCCCCGGCUGGCCAUAACAGAGGAGUCUCUCCAGUGUUUACACAGGUCAGCUGCUUUAGCUCAAUCAGUACCUUUAAACUAUAAUCUUCACCCCUAUCAACCAGGAAGCUAGGUUUGAGUAAAACAACAUCGGCGGGGGAAAAAAAAAACACCUUGGCUCCAGUCUGGAAAGGUCCAUAUCAAGUUCUCCUUACUACGUACACUGCUGUGAAAAUUGCCGAGAAAGAAAGCUAGAUUCAUCACAGUCACCUCAAACCUGGCACCGAACCCAGUUCUCAAAAUGAGACAUUAGCAAGUUACAACCAGCCGACCUCUGUUCCGCCCCUGUGGCUAAAAAGAAUCGGAGAAUCAUGGACUGUCCAGACUCCUUAAAAGGAAUGCAAGAACAUUUAAUAUCUGUGUUUUUAGGAUUGCUUUGUAUUACCUUUCUUGUUAUAUUUUGUGUUUGUAUUUCACUGUAGAAGCAGGGGAAAUUAUAAGUUAAUAAUGGCAUUUCAGUAGGUUAUCCUGACAGGCUUAUUGUUCGGGGCGCAUAGAACAAACACCUAUUUGUGGGAAAGUGAUACAGAACAGGAAGGUCAGUGGAAAGAUAAUAGUUACCUGAUUUCCACUAUAGCCAUAGCGCAGGCCCUAAAUUUAUCUGAUUGCUGGAUAUGUGGCAAACAGCCUCCUUCCACUAACUUUCCACCCUAUCCUUUAAUCCCCUGGGAAGGAAACUUCUCUAAUCCAGAAUGGGCUGAUACAGAUAGGAUUGGAGUGAGUACCUGGCGAAAUAACUCUUACUUAAAAGAAGUAGUGCUUUCAGAUGCCAUGUUAUCGGCCCAAGUGUGUUGGGAAAAUCCUUGUGGAAGAGGAAAGAGAUUUUUAGGAUGGCAGUCAGGCUGUAAACUAACCAUUAAUGCCACACAUCUAAUAUGGCCAAACAAUACUGCGGUAGGGGCCAAGGAAGCUGAAAGAAAAGGGUACCUCCCCUGGAAUAUGUCUGCCCCUUGCAGCUCCUUACAGCUUCCUUAUGUAUGGUGGUUUAUGGAAGUUCUAUAGGAUGCUCCACUUCUAAUAAAACUUGGACUUGGAACCAUAACUGUGCCCUAUCUUGCAUACACGGCCCUUCCACAAAAACGGGAUUAGAAUAGCUUUUGGCAAGGUGCAGCCCAUUUCAUAAGAGUCUCGGCUCCUUUCCUUACAAAUUUCUAUUUAGAUCACUGCAUCAGCCAACUAGCACAUGCAUUGGAGCUUGUUGCCAACAGCACAGCAGAGAGCAUUGACAGGCUUCUGCCAACCGUGUUAUGACUUUAGAAAAUCGCCUAGCAUUAGACUAUUUGUUAGCUAGAGAAGGAGGGGUAUGUGCUUUAAUCACAGGAAGACCCUGCUGCACCUACAUUCCUGACCACUCUGACAAUAUAACUGCCGUAGUAAAAACAAUUCAAGACAUAGUACGACGGGUAAACUAUUUGCAAAGUUGGUCAGUAAUGGAAUGGAUCGCCUCAAGUCUAGGAAUGUGAGGAAGGUAUAUCUUAGAAUACAUUUUGUGGGGAUUAGGAAUUUUCUUAGUUAUUAUUUUAGUAAUUGCUGUAAUUAAAGCAUGUGUAGUUCACGUUACGCAAAAAGUAGUUAAUCUCAAUGUCAUGCAAACCUGGGAAAUGGCCAGCAGGCCAUAGGCCUUUGGCCAUAAGGGGGGAUUGUUAGAAAUUGUGCACAGAAAAAGGGGUCUCCUUUAGCAACACAGGAAGCACAGCCUGCACUUUCAGGUGCCCACUACUUCCCCCAUAGUAACUGAGCAUGAUAGACAAGCUUAACGGCAGAACUGUGCCUUAUUUGGUCUUACCCUGCAGGUUGAAGAAGAGUCAUGCAAUACUAGUAAUUUUCCGCUAAAGCUUUGCGCGUGCAAAAAGCUCAUGUAACCAGAGAAUAUAAAUACGUGUGUGAGAGUGCAACCGGGGCCCUUCUGCCUUUCUAAGGUCGGGGGACCUUCGGCCUAAUAAACUGGAAAGACCACA